UGUGUGUGUGUGUGUGUGUGCGUGCCUAACGUCAUCAAAUAACAAGGGUCUGCACUCAAUUUAGCCUUCAUUUACAGGUUUUGUAUUUAAAUACAAGUCCUGCAUGACGAUUUGUACAAAGAACCUCUGAAAUUMAGGAAUUAGCUGAAUCUAAUCCAAUCUAGCUAAUCUAGCUGAUUAGCUAGGAUCUUUAACCUGAGUUCAUUCAUCUGUUUAUUAUUUCCUCUAUAGUAUCAACAGCUUCAGCAUCAUGGCUUCAUGCAUGAGCUAGCUCAUCCACCUCACAAACUCCACCAUCAGUGCUCUGUUCUUGUUGCACCUCACACUGCUUGCUCACUUUUUAGUGUUUUUUUGUGUGUGUGAUUUGAUGGUCAUUUACUGUACUUCUUAAAAUGAUUAACUACACAGGAGAAACCAACAGUUCUCUCUUGAUAAAAUGACAUAAAAGCUCCAAUGAGCCUUUGAGGUGCCCCAGCAUCUUUUACUCUUUCACCCUGAGUACUUCUCUACUCGUAACAUUGGUGGUAAAUGUUUCGAAGCUUGUUGUUUCCAUGUGAACUGCGCACCAUUUGUGCUUUGGCUUUCAAAAUGGUCUGACGUGUUUAUUUUUAAUCUCUGUUAUUACGAUAGGUGCCAUCAGACAUCAAAGUACCUCCAGAAAAAUACCACUUGUUAAUUAACUCAUCAUCCCAAAUGAGUUCACUCUGUUUCCUAAAACCUUCAAGUUAAAUCUAACUUACACGCUGUCUGAAGUUCCCUCCAUUAAACCCCUGAAAGAGUUUUGGUUUGUCUCAGCGGCGUUGUGUUUGUUCUGCUGCCGUUUUUGUUGCUCUUUCUCACAUGAUUAUCUACUCUGUUUUUCCCUUUUUAGAUUAAAAAAAUAUCUUAAAGGUCCAAAUGCUAUAUGAGGUGAAGGAUCUCUCACUGGCAGCGUGAGCACCGACAGCGGAAACACCACGACGGACUCUACGGACCAGGUGUCUCCCACCAUGCCCCGCUCAACGAAACAGAGAGUUUCGGGAAAACUCCGCAGAUCAGCAAGCGCUAUGAGCAAAUCUUCAAACUGAGCUCUACAACCGUCCCUUUGUUUUGUUUUGUUUUGUUUUGUUUUGUUUUGUUUCUCCCACCCAAGUGAAGCAUUUAAUCUGUUCUUAAAGAACCUCCACACACCCAGCUGUGACUGCAAAACCUUUUUGGUUUUCUUUUUCCUGUUUUCUAUCAAACUUAACUUGUUGUAAUUUUUCAUUUGUUUGCCAUCUGUGAUUUUGCUGCAUUUCAGUUUGUUGCUCAGUUAUUUGAGACGGGCACGAGGCUAAACUACGUGGGUCCAACAGCAUAGGAUGACCUUAUUUACCUAAUGGAAACUGUGAUGUUAAUGUAACUUUUAUUCUAAUUUUCUAGAGCGUUCUCAAGGCGCUAGAAAAAACAAAGUUCUUACUAUAGUAAGGGAAUGGGAGACUACUUUAAGCUGUUUCUUUGUCUCGUUUAAUUCAACACUUAAUGUAAAGAAGCACUGAAUGACAGUUAGUGCUCAAACUGCACAUGAGAUUGGUAUCCGUUUAUAGAUACGCCUGUUUUUAUCUCUUUUUUUUGCAUCUGUCUCCGUCCCGUYGUAACAGAUGCCACUUCAGAAAGUGACAGACUGAUGCUGGAGCUGUUCUGCCCUGUAGCACCAGUUUGGGGAAUGUUUGUGAAGCAUCUUCCCGCACUGGAAACAAGAAAAGACGGAUGCAUUGGGGGAACGCCGCCCCCAAGUAGAUUUUUCACUCGCUGCACUACUGACCUGCGCACGGAGUCCCUGAGGUGCGCACAGUCCCAGGAUUUUUCCUUUCUUUCUUUUCGAGAGGACAAUCGAUGACGUCUUUCUAACUUGAGAUGAAAUGAGAUUUGUUUUUGUAUUUUUUUUUUUUUUACCUCCCGCACAUCCCUUUUUAAAUGAAUUCCAAUAGAUUUUGUCAUGAUUUGAUUUAUGGAACUCUGCUGGAAUGAGAAAAGACUGCGUUUGUAAUUGUUUUCUGAUGUCAUUAACUUGGGCUCGCGUCCGGUAAUUGGAUAAGUUCCUGCUGUCUUUUCCUCUGCUGCCCGUUUCCUGUCCGGUGAAGCUAAAACAUUCCAACAUUCGCAACUCACCAACGUUUUUGCACUCACUUGUCAUUAGUGUCGAAAGCUCUGCUUGGAGUCCUUAUUGCUUUAAACUUUGAUUUUUUUAUGUGUGUUUGGUAGAUUUUUAGGAUUAGAGAUGAUUACUUGAUGACGUGUUUUGUUUUUGUGUGUUCAUGUAGAGGAAAACAAACCACCAGAGCCUCAGGUAAAAUUGUUUCCAUGCACUGGUGUGAGUGUGUGUUUGAGUGUGUGUGUGUGUUUCUGAGAGAGUUUCUCACAGUGCCUCUGUCUUAAAAAGUAAGAUAAAGUCCCCCACCACUAAAGCAGCACCUACUUUGUCAAAUUAGGUUUAUUCUUCAGACGAACUCGAUCAACCAAAGUGCUCAGAGUUUUGUGCCUCCCACAGAAACAACAGAUGUGUUUAAAAUGUUGUGCUUUUCCACCUUUAUCUGUGCAUUGAGUUGAGUGGCAUCAACUCCUCGCCUAUUUUUUAUUUAUUUUUUCCCAUGAUGCUCUUCCCAUGUGGCCUCCUGAGGCCCCGAGGUGGAAAGAGGGGGGAGGGGGUCCGGGUGUAUCUGGCAUGCCAGAGCUGAACUCUUACCAGGCCUCCUAGCAACGACCAGGCCUGCGCUCUCGCUCCUCCAACCUGCCCGCUCAGGUUGUCAUGGUAGCCAGGUGUCCUCCCCCCCCACACACACACACACAACACACACGUACACACUCACAUCCUCCGAGAGCUCCACCCAAGCUGCAACUCUAUCCCCAUCUGUUGCUCUCCUAUGCCUUACCCCGUUUCUGCCAACAUCUCACCUCCCUUUUGUUUGUUCGUUCCUCCAGCAGAGGAGUAAUCCAAACAGCAGGAGGUCUGACAGUCCCGUUUGUGCUUUUUGUGUUUUUAAAGAAUGUACAAAUAUAUACAUCAGAUCGCCACUYGAAGGAAUGAUGUCGAUCGAAAGAUUGUAGGUUUUAGACAUCUGUCUGUUGAAGGGAUAUUUUCUCCCCUUUUUAGUAGCUGGAGAUAUUUGGACCAAGAUUGUUCAUCUUAUAUUGUGAAGAAAAUUAGUCUUAGUGUUGAUAGUUUUUUUUCCUCUUGUUUUAGAAAUCUUUGUACAUUGUGUCAAAUUUGAGGGCCUCCUUUGCCCUUUUAAUAUAAAUCUAUUAAUGCCUGUAAUAUAAUCUUUGUACCUGUAAGGGAGCAAAAAAAGCUUGAAAUUUUCAUCCUGACUUGUCGACAUAUCAAACUGUUUUUAAUGACCGAAGUCCUGCUAUCUUCACUAGAAAUGUGAAAAUUGAAACAUUUCAUUAAAUCAUUUUGAAAUUUUA